UCUCGACACACCCUCCGAAACCUUCACCUUUUGUUUUCAGCACAUAUAAUUUUUAUGCCAAGUACGCAUUUUUAACGCAGCAGUUUUUAUUAUUAAUAUUAUUGUUAUCAUUAUCAUUAUUGUUGUUUUUUUACAGUUUCAGUUAAAACCGCUGUUAGGCUAAAUGAAUGUUUUAUUCUGAAAUUCGGCCCGGAAGUUCGUUCGCCCGUGGCAAAGCGAAAAUCAUCGGGGUCUUGGUAGAGAGGGCUGCCUUGCUAAGGUAUGUGCUACUGUGUUUGACUUGCAUGUGACUAGUAUGUUAGGUGUGUGUUUAAUGUGAACGGUGAUCUUAGGCACUGUUAAAAUCCGCUUCCGCGUUUUGCCGUCAGGUGGUUUGAGUUGGUUUCUUGUGCCUCUCGAACGUGAGCUGAGGUACGACACCCAGGUGUUGACGAGCUUUUUUGGCAACAAAUGUGCUAAUUAGCGGUCUAAGACUUGUCCUUGGUUGGUUACAAAGUCUUUCCUGCUUUUGUCUAACAAAAUGGUGUCUGUGUAACAGCAACGCCGGGCUCGGUCUCUUUCACGGGCGAGUUUUAUCCCGGUGUGCGGAACUGGGUGGUGCGUUUCAGCGAACGUCAUGUUAGACUUUUCACACCGGGACCUUUUUUUAAAUAUGGCUGUUCAAGUGCUUUGCCAGGAAGUAUACAUCUGGUAUCAUCAGCAAGGGCCAGAGAGAAACUGUUGGUGUAAGAGGGUACGCUGGGAAAGGAAGUCCAAUAACGCUUAGAUUUUACACACAUAACAAGAUUCCACAGAAUCCGUUUCUUUUAUUCCUACAUCUCCACCACCGUGGGAAACACCAAAGGACCUCGUGGAUAAGAUUGUAGCCUGGCACAAGGCUGGACUGGGCUACGAGACCAUCAGCAAGAAGCUUGUCAAUCACCUGAAGGAAGCUGGAGCCACAGUUAACAAAAACAUACCUGAUCAUGGAUCUCCUCAGCAGUUUGGAAAUCUACAUCCCUGCAGAGGCUGAGGUGAAAAACAUCCCUUUGUGGACCUUGCCAAAGUCUGUACUCAGAAGAAUGGGCCUCCCUCUCCUGAAUGCCUCCAGGAAUCUUGCAGACUCUCCAGAAGGCAUAUGGAUUUCUCCAGCAGUUAUACGGAAGAAAGGCCAGAGAUACACAGGAAGUGCAAUAGAUAACAUGACCUCAGUGCUGGGCAAAGAGUUGCGUGCUUCAAGGGGUCCUUUUCGAAUGUCUUUUGUUUCCUCGAACCAUGCAGCUCAUGAGGUGCUGAAGGGCACCGUUCCCAAGGCACCUCUAUGUCAAACCUCUCAAUUCCCUCCAGACUCUGCACCACGAACCGGUCGAGAUGCUGUCGUCAUCUACCGUGGGCAAGUUUACUUGUCCAUCAGGGUGCCUAGUCGUAGCCAUAGUCAGCGUGGGAAACAGACGACUUCCCAGCCUGUCACUCCUUCAACGUCCCACUUGUCUUCAAAGAAAAGGAAAAAGACGAUGCUAAGCGACAAUAAGCCCAAGAAAAAGCACAACAUAUGUGAAGUAAUGCAUACAGAAAACAAGAAGGAUGACGCACACAGGACAAGAGAUGUUCACUUUCUGCCAAAACCCAUUGAGAGUGAGUGUGAAGUUGGCAGCAAGUGUCCUGCAGAUUCUAGAGGAGAGCUGCUCUCAGAAGCCCCCCUGAAGACAGCUGGCUUUCAGCCUCACGGGGAGCCAGAGGAGGAUCUGACUGCCGAAGAAGCAGACGGCCCCCAUGAGAACAAUGACAGAAGUGGUAGUCUACAGAUGGACAUCAGGGAAGUUGACCAAAGUAGCAGGGGCAGGAUGGAUCCCCUGUGUGCAGCUGCCGCCUCCACAUCACUGCAGAUGGACUGUGACUUUAACGAGUUGGCACAAGAGGAGAAGAUCGCUCAAAUGAGAGCCAAACUUAGACAGAACGAAGCUGCUCUAAACCUGCUUUCUUAAAGUGACCUCACAUUUGUUAGCCUUUUUGUACCAAAUGUUUAGAAUAGACUUUUAUACAUUUGUCUUCUGUGAACACAUGCACAUUAAUAAAAAUGGUAUCGAUGGGCUUAUGUGUUUGGUGAUCCUUUUGUUUUAUUCGGGCGUCCAAAAACAAAGAGAUGUUGUACUAGUGUGGUGUUGUCUUCUCAUUAGGUGCAGUUUAUAGCAACGUCUUCAUUGUUUGGAUGUUUUUGAUGUGUUAGUUCUGGUCAAAAAAUCAUUUCCUUUUGAUAAAACCUUAAACCAUAACAGGGUAUGGGUUGAUUAGGUUAACCUGUAGUUUGAUAAGGUCCCAUUUACAAAGUCAACCACAUGGUUCUUUGUUAAAAUGCUUCUUUUUCCCAGAAUAUAUGAUGGGCUUUUUCCUGGUUCAGUAACUAAGACUUUUUUUUUUUUUUUUGUUAAAAUCAAGCAUCCCAAAUAUACCGUUUUGUUUUUAUGUUUAGUAUGGUAGUUUUCCUGAUCACCUUGAAACACCUCCACAGGUCAUGAGUGGGUCUUAUGUCUGUUGGAAGUGCUCCAAACCACAAACGGCAAAUAUGACUAAUCUUUGUGCAUAUGUGUUUCAUAAUGUGACUUUUAAUACUAAUUAGACCUGUGAAAAAUCAUUAUCAUUAUUAUUAUUAUUAUUAUUGUUUGGUGACCUAGUGCUGAAAUGGUUGUGGCAUGAUUGUUGUCCUUUCUACUCUGCCUUCUCACUCCAUAAAUUAUUUUUCAUACGCAAGUCUUGCACUCUGGGCCUGACAUUUCCCACUCUUCUGUCAGUGUGGAACAAGAAUGUCAGGACUUUGAAUUGUGACAUAGUGACUGUGCUCACACUCAUCUGUCUGCUCUGGUCCCUGAACGAUUCAAAAUGUUUAGCAUGAACUCAUCUAGGGUUAAAGGUUUUCAUUUCUCUGUGUUUGAAAUGCAUUUCUAUAGAUGUAUUUCUGUUUGGAAAAUAUGUUUGCAAUAAAAGCAUUCUGUACGGG
ensembl:lncRNA